AUUGAACGCUGGCGGCAUGCCUUACACAUGCAAGUCGAACGGUAACGGGCCUUCGGGUGCCGACGAGUGGCGAACGGGUGAGUAAUACAUCGGAACGUGCCCGAUCGUGGGGGAUAACGAGGCGAAAGCUUUGCUAAUACCGCAUACGAUCUACGGAUGAAAGCAGGGGACCGCAAGGCCUUGCGCGGACGGAGCGGCCGAUGGCAGAUUAGGUAGUUGGUGGGAUAAAAGCUUACCAAGCCGACGAUCUGUAGCUGGUCUGAGAGGGUGAUCAGCCACACUGGGACUGAGACACGGCCCAGACUCCUACGGGAGGCAGCAGUGGGGAAUUUUGGACAAUGGGCGCAAGCCUGAUCCAGCCAUGCCGCGUGCAGGAUGAAGGCCUUCGGGUUGUAAACUGCUUUUGUACGGAACGAAAAGCCUUCUUUUAAUACAGGGGGGUCAUGACGGUACCGUAAGAAUAAGCACCGGCUAACUACGUG
rnacentral:rRNA from 1 species